rnacentral:rRNA from 1 species
CGGAUUGUAGUCUGCAACCCGACUACAUGAAGCUGGAAUCGCUAGUAAUCGCGGAUCAGAAUGCCGCGGUGAAUACGUUCCCGGGUCUUGUACACACCGCCCGUCACACCAUGGGAGUCGAAAUGCCCGAAGUCUGUGACCCAACCUUAGGGAGGGAGCAGCCGAAGGCAGGUCGGAUGACUGGGGUGAAGUCGUAACAAGGUAUC